rnacentral:rRNA from 1 species
GACGAACGCUGGCGGCGUGCUUAACACUGCAAGUCGAACGGUAAGGCCCUUCGGGGUACACGAGUGGCGAACGGGUGAGCAACACGUGGGUGAUCUGCCCUGCACUUCGGGAUAAGCCUGGGAAACUGGGUCUAAUACCGGAUAGGACCCUGGGAUGCAUGUCCUGGGGUGGAAAGCUUUUGCGGUGUGGGAUGGGCCCGCGGCCUAUCAGCUUGUUGGUGGGGUGAUGGCCUACCAAGGCGACGACGGGUAGCCGGCCUGAGAGGGUGACCGGCCACACUGGGACUGAGAUACAGCCCAGACUCCUACGGGAGGCAGCAGUGGGGAAUAUUGCACAAUGGGCGCAAGCCUGAUGCAGCGACGCCGCGAGAGGGAUGACGGCCUUCGGGUUGUAAACCUCUUUCAGCACCGACGAAGCGCAAGUGACGGUAGGUGCAGAAGAAGGACCGGCCAACUACGUGCCAGCCGCCGCCGUAA